AGUUUGAUCCUGGCUCAGAUUAGAACGCUGGGCCGGCAGGCCUAACACAUGCAAGUCGAGCGGUAGAGAGAAGCUUGCUUCUCUUGAGAGCGGCGGACGGUGAGUAAUACCUAGGAAUCUGCCUGAUAGUGGGGAUAACGUUCGGAAACGGACGCUAAUACCGCAUACGUCCUACGGGAGAAAGCAGGGGACCUUCGGGCCUUGCGCUAUCAGAUGAGCCUAGGUCGGAUUAGCUAGUUGGUGAGGUAAUGGCUCACCAAGGCUACGAUCCGUAACUGGUCUGAGAGGAUGAUCAGUCACACUGGAACUGAGACACGGUCCAGACUCCUACGGGAGGCAGCAGUGGGGAAUAUUGGACAAUGGGCGAAAGCCUGAUCCAGCCAUGCCGCGUGUGUGAAGAAGGUCUUCGGAUUGUAAAGCACUUUAAGUUGGGAGGAAGGGCAUUAACCUAAUACGUUGGUGUCUUGACGUUACCGACAGAAUAAGCACCGGCUAACUCUGUG
rnacentral:rRNA from 1 species